CCUAUAUCCUGACGGAGCUCGCAGCUUGGCCUAGUAAAUUCCAGGGCACUGUCUUCUUGCCGGAGCGCCCUCCCAUCCCUCUGUCUCCCACUCCUCCCUCCUUCCUUUGCCCUCGGUCUGGCUUAGGCCUCCGUCGUGGGGAGCCCAGAUGAAUCCAGAGGUUCCCUCUCCUGAGAAACUCUCAGUCUGGAGGCCAGCAAACAGGCAAACCGACACCUUUCACCUUUAAGCGGGUGUUCUGUCAAAGGAGCUCAGCAGGGCGUGAUGACUACCGAGGGAUCCCUUAGACAGCCCUCUCUCCCAGAGUCCCCACCUGGCCAGGGUGCUGACUUGGGGCACCAGCUGGGGCGUUGCUGCUGUAAGGAUUCCAGAGGACCCCAUUUUAGGGGUCGGGGUAGAGCAGAGAGGCCUGGGUUUGAGGCCCAGGUUUGCUGCUGACAUACUGUGAGCCUCCUGGAGCAAGCCCUUUUCCUGUCUGGGCCACUAUAAAGGGACAGGACCUGAGGAUCCCCCAAGGCCAGUCUGGCUCCGAACCCUGCAAUCCCUUCGUGGCCAGUGAGGAAAAUUUGUCAUCUCUAAGCCACCUAUGAUGGUGUUGGAGAAGACUCUUGAGAGUCCCUUGGACUGCAAGGAGAUCCAACCAGUCCAUUCUGAAGGAGAUCAGCCCUGGGAUUUCUUU
ensembl:lncRNA